CAGGGAGACAAAACUGAUUUUGAUGUCUGAAUUACUUUAUUUUCAGGCCGAAAUCCUGUCACCUUAGGUCGAUCGGUACCUCAGUUUGAUAUACAAAACCAAGUAAUUGGUUUCUAUAAUUAUUGAAUUCAGUUCCUAAACUUUGUCUAGGUCACAACCAGCAAUGGUACUCCUGGGCCAUUAGCUCAGGUGGUUAGAGCGCACCCCUGAUAAGGGUGAGGUCCCUGGUUCAAGUCCAGGAUGGCCCAUUCGGCGUUGGGGGGUAUAGCUCAGUUGGUAGAGCGCCUGCUUUGCAAGCAGGAUGUCAGCGGUUCGAGUCCGCUUACCUCCACUGAACAACCUUCUGAUAGCGAACCUAAGGAGAAUUUUGUUGAUGUGAUCUAGAAUCCGUUCUUAAUGAAGAACCUAGCUUCUUGUCAUUUCCUCUAGAAAUAGUUUGGGAUUGAUAUGACGCUGGGCUCGCUGCAAUAUUUAUUGCAGAGCGUUCAGUAGAACCUUGACAACUGCAUAGGUGAGUCUGGAAAGAAUAAAGCAUCUCAUGGAUGCAUUAAUUCUUUUAAAUAUUAAUAGAAUUUUGUUUAUUCAUUAUUUCUAUUAUCGCUUGAAAGAUUAAUGUCAAAUUCUUGAGUAAGAGCCGAGACUCUGCAAUGCUCUUUUAAUACAAUAUUGUAUUGAAAGUUAGAUUUUUGAUUUUGAAUUUAAUUUGGUAUAAGUGCUAGAUAAUUUCUAUGCAAUUAUUCCUUAAGAUUGAAAAUCAAAGAGAACAGUGUUAACAACACAUUCGUUGUAGAGAUUAAU
rnacentral:tRNA from 1 species